CCCUUAGAUGUUCUGGGCUGCACGCGUGCUACACUGAUAUUGCCAUUAUGUCAUUCUUAUCCGAAAUGGAUUGGGUAAUCAAGUAAUGAAAUUUCAUGCUUGGAAUCGGUAAUUGCAAUUUUAUCGUGAACGAGGAAUUCCUAGUAAGCACUAGUCAUCAGCUAAUGUUGAUUAUGUCCCUGCCCUUUGUACACACCGCCCGUCGCUACUACUGAUUGGGUGUUCAAGUGAGAUGCUUAGACCCUUGUUGCAUGGUUCAUUAUUGUGCUCCGAAAGGAAAAAGUUUCAAGCUUGAGUGUCUAGAGGAAGUAAAAGUCGUAACA
rnacentral:rRNA from 1 species